rnacentral:lncRNA from 1 species
CUUCAAAUAUAUAAAUAUGCAUAUAUAUUUAAAUUCUACGUGCGUAUUUAUGUAAUAUUUUUACAUAAUUAAGUAAUUUUAUUGAUUGCAAUUUGAGGGACCUGCCUGCCAACCCAGGCUGGAAGUCCAGAGAAUUUAAUUUGCUAGCACUGUAUUUAACCCUGUAACGUUCUACGACACCCUAAAACCUGUACAUGGGGGUACUGUUUUACUCGGGAGACUUCACUGAACACAUAUUCGUGAUUCAAAACAGUAAAACAUAUCACAGAGAUGAUAUUGUCAGCGAAAGUGACUUUUUUCACAUUUUUCACACACAAACAGCACUUUUACUGAUAUUAUUGUUGUGAUACUUUCCAGUUUUGAAACACUAAUAUUUGUGUUCAGCAAAGUCUCCUGUGUAUAACAGUACCCCCCCCCACCCCCAUGUACAGGUUUUAUAGCAUUUUUGAAAGUUACAGCGUCAAAUAUUUUUACAUUGAAAAUGGCCAGGUUGGUUACGUUGCCUUUGAGAGCGUAUGGUAUCCCAGGAAUGAGAAUUACCCCCAUGAUAGCAUACCAUUUGCAAAAGAAGACAACCCAAGGUAUUGCAAAUGGGGUAUGUCCAGUCUUUUUUUAGUAACCACUUAGUCACAAACACUGGCCAAAAUUAGCGUUCAAUUUAGUUUUUUUUUACUUUUUUUAACACACUAUAUGGACGCUAACUUUGGCCAGUGUUUGCGACUAAGUGGCUGCUAAAGUCUGGACAUACCCCAUAUUGAAUACCCUGGGUUGUCUACUUUAAAAAAAAAAUAUGUACUUGUGGGGUGUUAUUCAGAGAUUUAUGACAGAUAAUAGUGUUACAAUGUCACUAUUGAUAAAUUUUAAAAACUUAUGUUUUGAAACCUCAAUAUCCUACUUGUACUUAUCGCCCUAUAACAUGCAAAAAAGCAUGUAAACACUGGGUAUUUUUAAACUCAGGACAAAAUUUUGAAUCUAUUUAGCAGUUUUUUUCAUUCGCUUUUGUAGAUGAGUAAAAGAUUUUUCACGUAAGUCAAAAAAAGUUUUUUUUUUUAAUUUUUCAUGAUAUAUUCAUUUUUAUUUUAUUUUUAAUUAAAUUACAUGAGAUUAUAUAAAUAAUGGUAUGUAAAGAAAGCCCAUUUUGUCCUGAAAAAAAAAUGUAAUUUGUAUGGGAACAGUAAAUGAGAGAGCGGAAAAUUACAGCUAAACACAAACACCACAAAAGUGUAAAAAGAUGCCUUGUCGCAAAUUUACAUCGCAAAAACAGGCCAGUCCUUAAGGGGUUAAACAAAUCAUCCAUGAGCACCACUGAAGUACUCUCCCAUCACCUGGACAAUCUAAUAAAAGUAAGUAUCUGGACCAAAUUUAAACAUUGCAGUAACUUAUCACUGGUUACUAUCAUUUGCUCUAAAAUGUCAAAUCAAGUAAGACAUACACUGUCACUUUAUAUAUUUUUCCACAUUUCCAGUUUUGGAUAGAAGGUCUCAGAAUUGGAUGUCUCCAUGAAGUCACGCUUACAAGUAAAGAAUAAAAUAAUAUAAUCUCUCACAUCAUCAUCAUCUCACAUAGAGCAUAGCUUUAUCUAUUUUCUAUAAUGAUGUCAAAAAAAUGCUAAACAAUUAAAUAUAUGACUGUCGGAGGGGGAAUGUAAUUAUAUAAUAUGGUUGACAAUCAUCUGGUACAAAAUGUGUUGAGACAGAUGUCUUUUGUAGCAUUUAUACAAGCAUUUUCCAGAGCAAGCUUAAAGAAUUUUUGAUAGACCUGUCAUAGGUUUUUAAAUUAAGGAAUCCAACAGCACACCAAAUAGUGUAAAAAUAACACAUUAUUUAAGGCACAUGAAAAUAAAAGAUCAUGGAAUGACCUAAAUAAAUCAAUUCAAAGUACUGCUACAUCAUCACAUAUCACAUGUGUUGUUUUUUGUUUUGUUUUUUUAUAAUCAAAGCAGGAUGUGUUGUAUGGAUAAAUGGUAGAAAGUGGGUCCAUCAAUUACCAAGUCGUCAGAGACCCUGAUCAUAUCUGGGAUUGAAAUCAAAGACAUGGAUGCCAAAGAAGACUCAUAGAUCUGGAUGAACUUUUAGGCUCCCUAUAAAUCAGAAGUUGGACCAACCAUUG